rnacentral:rRNA from 1 species
UACAGAGGGUGCAAGCGUUGUUCGGAAUUAUUGGGCGUAAAGCGCGUGUAGGCGGCUUUGCAAGUCGGGUGUGAAAGCCCUCAGCUCAACUGAGGAAGUGCGCCCGAAACUGCAGAGCUUGAGUGCCGAAGAGGGUGGCGGAAUUCCCCAAGUAGAGGUGAAAUUCGUAGAUAUGGGGAGGAACACCGGUGGCGAAGGCGGCCACCUGGACGGUAACUGACGCUGAGACGCGAAAGCGUGGGUAGCAAACAGG